AAGGGCUUAUGACCAGACCUUUGCCUUGCGGAUCAUCCGGUGUUCUCACCGGUGCACUUCGCUUGGUUUAGGCCAGCAUCGAUUUUGGUAGGGGGAUAAAGACUUUAGUAAUGUGGCUCCUCCGGGAGUGUUAUAGACUAUUGUGUAAUACCUUUACUGGGAUCGAGGACCGCGCUUCGGCUAGGAUGCUGGCAUAAUGGUCAUCAGC
rnacentral:rRNA from 1 species